CGGAGGGUGCGAGCGUUGUUCGGAAUCACUGGGCGUAAAGGGCGUGUAGGCGGUCCGCUAAGUCUGAUGUGAAAGCCCGGGGCUCACCCCCGGAAGGGCAUUGGAAACUGGCGGACUCGAGUCCCGGAGAGGAAGGUGGAAUUCCUGGUGUAGCGGUGAAAUGCGUAGAUAUCAGGAGGAACACCGGUGGCGAAGGCGGGUCUCUGGGCAGUAACUGACGCUGAGGAGCGAAAGCGUGGGGAGCGAACAGG
rnacentral:rRNA from 1 species